GUGAGAUGCAGACACCGGCAGACACUGUGGGUGGAAGAAAGGACACUUGCAUUGUGACUUAAGUGUGACUUGAUGUGCCAGCUCUGUAGGACACUACCAACACAAGAUUAUGAUGGAGACCAUGAUGAAUGAACAACACCAAAUUGUGAAUAAGUGCCACCUCUAGGAAACAUACUUCUUUAUAUGCCCAUAUGGAAAUUACACAGCUAUGGAAUGUUAAGAAGUAUGUAACCUGGGGGUAGGAUCUUCGCUGGACUGCCCUGGUUCAUCAUGUCCAGUUCACCACAAGUCAGGUAAAAUAAGUCAUGUGCAAGUCAACUGCACCAAUCCACCAGUCAGUGAUUUUUGGUGAUACUUUUUACAUGACCAACUGUUUUGUGUACUUGAUGCUAUAUGACUUUAGAAAAGCCACAGGUCAUUUUUGUUUUUUAAUUCUUGGACAGUUAUGCUGAAAGUAGUUUUUAUAUUCAGGAUGAAGUUCCUAAAAGACAUUUGUUUAGUCACUCUUUUGGUUUAAAAAUUCACUGGACUUUGUCUAUGAAUAUUUUUUUACUUGUAAAAAGGUUUUAGUGAAUAUAACAAAUUUUCUUUUCUACAGUUCAAUACAGUCACUCAUUUCUUACCUAGACCUUUCCCACUUAGGAACAGUAAUUUUGAGUCCUUCCUUUUGUGUUUUGUAGAACAUGUCACCCAAGUCUUAACAUGUUUAAAACAAAUUAACAUUCAAGGGUAGUGACUCUCAUAAAGUUAGUAUAAUGUUUUGCAGUUGUUAUCUGAUAAAGCCAAUUAGGGACAUAUAUGCAGCAGGGUUCACCUUCAGAGGUCAGUAGGGUGAAUUUCAUGCUAUGAGAAUUAGAAAUUGCUAAAUUUUCAGAGCUAAAUUUCAUGAAAAGGGGUCAAAAUAAACAUUUAAAUAUA